rnacentral:lncRNA from 1 species
CUCUCCUGCUCUGCCAUGGGAAGAUGUGCCUACUUCCCCUUUGCCUUCCACCGUGACUGUACAUUUCCUGAGGACUCCCUAGCCAUGCUUUCUGUACAGCCUGCUGAACUCUCUGCCCAAAUUUCAGCUGUCACAGAAUGAGUGAUCCUCAUAGUAUAAUGGAAAUGCAUCAUCUCAGUUUCCCCAUGGCCUGAAUGUCCAUACAAAAUGAGAGCCAGUAGAGAAAAACAGAGGACGUGAGGAGUUUUUAAAAAUUGAGGAAAAGUGGAAGGAAAAGUAAGGAUGAAGGUGAAGAUGAAGGAAUAUGUCAGAGAUGCUAGCACUGGCAUCCCCCACCACACAGUACCAUGUACUGCUAAAGAACUCUAGAACAUACAGGGUGUAGACGGCAGUCUUCUUGGGGAAAAAGAGGCUUCAGGAUUGCAAGAUUUCAGCUACUGUCUCUCCUCGGAGCAGGAUUCCAUCUUUUCCAUGGCUGGGGCCCUUGACACAUGUCACUGUGCACUGCUCUUCUCGCUGGGAAAAGGAAACUGAGGCCCAGAGAGGGCAAGUGAAUUUCCCAAGAGUGUCCAGAUGAUACGGAGCUGAGCUGGAAAGUGAGCCUGGAUCUCUCUGGUUCUGAAAGCUUUGCUCGAAAGCACAGGAUGACACCUCCAUUCAAUCAAUAAGCACUGAGACCCUUCCAUGGACUCAGCAGGUCCUGCUGUCCCUGAAGGUUGACACUCUCAUUUCAAACCACAGCGAGAACCCCAAAAGGAAACAGUGCAAGGAAAAUAAUGUGAUAUUUGAGAGGCAGCAUGGAUUAUUGGGGACAGGGUUCAUGUCCCUUCUCUCCCACACACGUGGCAUGAUGUUAAGCGGGUCACCUCACCUCUCCAGGGUUGUUUCCUCAACUGAGAAAAUGAGGGGGUUGAGAUGAACGCCAGCCCUGGGGUGCUCAAUGCUGCAGUCUAGGGUGGUGUGGACUGGAAUCAGAAUUCUUUCUCCUCCGCUCUGGGUGCUGACACAUGAUCUCUGGCUCUCACUCCCCACCCCUAAUCUUGCCCAUCUGAGUUUCAGGUUAUUUUUUCCUUCCUCCUGCUCUUCAAUUUCCUUAUUGAGGAAGCUCUUUCCUGCUGCCUCUGUCCCCGCUGGAGCUGUUUGAUCCAGUAGAGCCAGUCGAAGCCAAGGGGACCCUGACUUGAAUCUUGCUUUCUGACAUGCUGGCUGUGGCUUGCUUGGGACCUGAAUAAGAGCUUGCUUACUCCCGGUGUUCACCACAGCGGAACCAUGGGUGCAGAAAUGUAAUUCUCAACCAGCCCAGUUUAAUCAGCGAAAGACAAUAGAGCUUGCAGGCGGUGUCAUGCUGAGUAUCUGAACACACCAUGGCUGCUGUCGCCCUUUUCAUUAAAAUGAUUGAAAAUGUAUUUCUAAACAGAA